rnacentral:rRNA from 1 species
AGUGAACGCUGGCGGUAGGCCUAACACAUGCAAGUCGAACGGCAGCACAGUAAGAGCUUGCUCUUACGGGUGGCGAGUGGCGGACGGGUGAGGAAUACAUCGGAAUCUACUUUUUCGUGGGGGAUAACGUAGGGUAACUUACGCUAAUACCGCAUACGACCUACGGGUGAAAGCAGGGGAUCUUCGGACCUUGCGCGAUUGAAUGAGCCGAUGUCGGAUUAGCUGGUUGGCGGGGUAAAGGCCCACCAAGGCGACGAUCCGUAGCUGGUCUGAGAGGAUGAUCAGCCACACUGGAAGUGAGACACGGUCCAGACUCCUACGGGGGGCAGCAGUGGGGAAUAUUGGACAAUGGGCGCAAGCCUGAUCCAGCCAUACCGCGUGGGUGAAGAAGGACUUCGGGUUGUAAAGCCCUUUUGUUGGGAAAGAAAAGCAGCAGGUUAAUACCCCGCUGUUCUGACGGUACCCAAAGAAUAAGCACCGGCUAACUUCGUG